rnacentral:rRNA from 1 species
CCUACGGGUGGCAGCAGUAGGGAAUCUUCCACAAUGGGCGCAAGCCUGAUGUAUCACCACCGCUUGCGUUCCUCCUUUUUUCUUCUCUUCCCUCUCUUUUUUUUUCUAAUCACGUGCGUGAGAGUAACUGUUCACGCAGUGACGGUAUCCAACCAGAAAGUCACGGCUAACUACGUGCCAGCAGCCGCGGUAAUACGUAGGUGGCAAGCGUUAUCCGGAUUUAUUGGGCGUAAAGCGAGCGCAGGCGGUCGCUUAGGUCUGAUGUGAAAGCCUUCGGCUUAACCGAAGAAGUGCAUCGGAAACCGGGCGACUUGAGUGCAGAAGAGGACAGUGGAACUCCAUGUGUAGCGGUGGAAUGCGUAGAUAUAUGGAAGAACACCAGUGGCGAAGGCGGCUGUCUGGUCUGCAACUGACGCUGAGGCUCGAAAGCAUGGGUAGCGAACAGGAUUAGAUACACGAGUAGUC